rfam:Methanohalobium evestigatum Z-7303, complete genome.
CGGCGGGCUAGCCCGGGUGGUUCGGCGUCACCUGUAACCUGAAAUACGUCGAUAUGCAGGGGGCGAAGCCGAUGGAAGGUGUCCUUCUCGUUUUCAAACCUGGGGUUUCAACUAAGAAGCUCCGUCCUGCUUGGACGAUGUUAAUACGGAGGCUUCCCGGAAGGUAGGUUUCCGUAUUUUAACCGCGAGAACCGGUCUAGGCCCGGAAGGGAGCAGACUAACCGCGGACAUCCGUCGCUUGCAGGGUUGCGGGGUGGAGAAGAAACCACAGAUAAUUUGGAAACGAGAAGGGCAUCAACCUGAGGCGUGUCCGCCA